rnacentral:rRNA from 1 species
CACGUAGUUAGCCGUGGCUUUCUGAUUAGGUACCGCCAAGACGUGCACAGUUACUUACACAUUUGUUCUUCCCUAAUAACAGAGUUUUACGAUCCGAAGACCUUCAUCACUCACGCGGCGUUGCUCCGUCAGGCUUUCGCCCAUUGCGGAAGAUUCCCUACUGCUGCCCUCCCGUAGGAGUCUGGACCGUGUCUCAGUUCCAGUGUGGCCGAUCACCCUCUCGAGGUCGGCUACGUAUCGUUGCCUUGGUAAGCCGUUACCUUACCAACUAGCUAAUACGGCGCGGGUCCAUCUAUAAGUGAUAGCAAAACCAUCUUUCACUUUAGAACCAUGCGGUUACUAAAUGUUAUCCGGCAGUUUACGCCCCCGGUUUCCCGGAGUUAUUCCCAGUCUUAUAGGUAAGUUACCACGUGUACUCACCCGUCCGCCGCUAACGUCAAAGGAGCAAGCUCCUUAUCUGUUCGCUCGACUUGCAUGUAUUAGGCACGCCCGCCAGCGUUCAUCUGAGCCAGGAUCAAAUCU